rnacentral:rRNA from 1 species
ACGUAGGUGGCAAGCGUUGUCCGGAAUUACUGGGUGUAAAGGGAGCGUAGGCGGGAAGACAAGUUGGGAGUGAAAUGUAUGGGCUUAACCCAUAAACUGCUUUCAAAACUGUUUUUCUUGAGUGAAGUAGAGGCAGGCGGAAUUCCUAGUGUAGCGGUGAAAUGCGUAAAUAUUAGGAGGAACACCAGUGGCGAAGGCGGCCUGCUGGGCUUUAACUGACGCUGAGGCUCGAAAGCGUGGGUAGCAAACAG